rnacentral:lncRNA from 1 species
UUCUGUUGAUCUCAGUCUAUGACCGGAUCCUUUACCGAUUUCUCUGAUGCAGUUCCUGUGAACUCCUGAAUGGGAUCCUGUGA